rnacentral:rRNA from 1 species
GGUUAAGCGACUAAGCGUACACGGUGGAUGCCCUGGCAGUCAGAGGCGAUGAAGGACGUGCUAAUCUGCGAUAAGCGUCGGUAAGGUGAUAUGAACCGUUAUAACCGGCGAUUUCCGAAUGGGGAAACCCAGUGUGAUUCGUCACACUAUCAUUAACUGAAUCCAUAGGUUAAUGAGGCGAACCGGGGGAACUGAAACAUCUAAGUACCCCGAGGAAAAGAAAUCAACCGAGAUUCCCCCAGUAGCGGCGAGCGAACGGGGAGGAGCCCAGAGCCUGAAUCAGUGUGUGUGUUAGUGGAAGCGUCUGGAAAGGCGCGCGAUACAGGGUGACAGCCCCGUACACAAAAAUGCACAUACUGUGAGCUCGAUGAGUAGGGCGGGACACGUGGUAUCCUGUCUGAAUAUGGGGGGACCAUCCUCCAAGGCUAAAUACUCCUGACUGACCGAUAGUGAACCAGUACCGUGAGGGAAAGGCGAAAAGAACCCCGGCGAGGGGAGUGAAAAAGAACCUGAAACCGUGUACGUACAAGCAGUGGGAGCCUCUUUAUGGGGUGACUGCGUACCUUUUGUAUAAUGGGUCAGCGACUUAUAUUCUGUAGCAAGGUUAACCGAAUAGGGGAGCCGAAGGGAAACCGAGUCUUAACUGGGCGUUAAGUUGCAGGGUAUAGACCCGAAACCCGGUGAUCUAGCCAUGGGCAGGUUGAAGGUUGGGUAACACUAACUGGAGGACCGAACCGACUAAUGUUGAAAAAUUAGCGGAUGACUUGUGGCUGGGGGUGAAAGGCCAAUCAAACCGGGAGAUAGCUGGUUCUCCCCGAAAGCUAUUUAGGUAGCGCCUCGUGAAUUCAUCUCCGGGGGUAGAGCACUGUUUCGGCAAGGGGGUCAUCCCGACUUACCAACCCGAUGCAAACUGCGAAUACCGGAGAAUGUUAUCACGGGAGACACACGGCGGGUGCUAACGUCCGUCGUGAAGAGGGAAACAACCCAGACCGCCAGCUAAGGUCCCAAAGUCAUGGUUAAGUGGGAAACGAUGUGGGAAGGCCCAGACAGCCAGGAUGUUGGCUUAGAAGCAGCCAUCAUUUAAAGAAAGCGUAAUAGCUCACUGGUCGAGUCGGCCUGCGCGGAAGAUGUAACGGGGCUAAACCAUGCACCGAAGCUGCGGCAGCGACGCUUAUGCGUUGUUGGGUAGGGGAGCGUUCUGUAAGCCUGCGAAGGUGUACUGUGAGGUAUGCUGGAGGUAUCAGAAGUGCGAAUGCUGACAUAAGUAACGAUAAAGCGGGUGAAAAGCCCGCUCGCCGGAAGACCAAGGGUUCCUGUCCAACGUUAAUCGGGGCAGGGUGAGUCGACCCCUAAGGCGAGGCCGAAAGGCGUAGUCGAUGGGAAACAGGUUAAUAUUCCUGUACUUGGUGUUACUGCGAAGGGGGGACGGAGAAGGCUAUGUUGGCCGGGCGACGGUUGUCCCGGUUUAAGCGUGUAGGCUGGUUUUCCAGGCAAAUCCGGAAAAUCAAGGCUGAGGCGUGAUGACGAGGCACUACGGUGCUGAAGCAACAAAUGCCCUGCUUCCAGGAAAAGCCUCUAAGCAUCAGGUAACAUCAAAUCGUACCCCAAACCGACACAGGUGGUCAGGUAGAGAAUACCAAGGCGCUUGAGAGAACUCGGGUGAAGGAACUAGGCAAAAUGGUGCCGUAACUUCGGGAGAAGGCACGCUGAUAUGUAGGUGAAGCGACUUGCUCGUGGAGCUGAAAUCAGUCGAAGAUACCAGCUGGCUGCAACUGUUUAUUAAAAACACAGCACUGUGCAAACACGAAAGUGGACGUAUACGGUGUGACGCCUGCCCGGUGCCGGAAGGUUAAUUGAUGGGGUUAGCGCAAGCGAAGCUCUUGAUCGAAGCCCCGGUAAACGGCGGCCGUAACUAUAACGGUCCUAAGGUAGCGAAAUUCCUUGUCGGGUAAGUUCCGACCUGCACGAAUGGCGUAAUGAUGGCCAGGCUGUCUCCACCCGAGACUCAGUGAAAUUGAACUCGCUGUGAAGAUGCAGUGUACCCGCGGCAAGACGGAAAGACCCCGUGAACCUUUACUAUAGCUUGACACUGAACAUUGAGCCUUGAUGUGUAGGAUAGGUGGGAGGCUUUGAAGUGUGGACGCCAGUCUGCAUGGAGCCGACCUUGAAAUACCACCCUUUAAUGUUUGAUGUUCUAACGUUGGCCCCUGAUCGGGGUUGCGGACAGUGUCUGGUGGGUAGUUUGACUGGGGCGGUCUCCUCCUAAAGAGUAACGGAGGAGCACGAAGGUUGGCUAAUCCUGGUCGGACAUCAGGAGGUUAGUGCAAUGGCAUAAGCCAGCUUGACUGCGAGCGUGACGGCGCGAGCAGGUGCGAAAGCAGGUCAUAGUGAUCCGGUGGUUCUGAAUGGAAGGGCCAUCGCUCAACGGAUAAAAGGUACUCCGGGGAUAACAGGCUGAUACCGCCCAAGAGUUCAUAUCGACGGCGGUGUUUGGCACCUCGAUGUCGGCUCAUCACAUCCUGGGGCUGAAGUAGGUCCCAAGGGUAUGGCUGUUCGCCAUUUAAAGUGGUACGCGAGCUGGGUUUAGAACGUCGUGAGACAGUUCGGUCCCUAUCUGCCGUGGGCGCUGGAGAACUGAGGGGGGCUGCUCCUAGUACGAGAGGACCGGAGUGGACGCAUCACUGGUGUUCGGGUUGUCAUGCCAAUGGCACUGCCCGGUAGCUAAAUGCGGAAGAGAUAAGUGCUGAAAGCAUCUAAGCACGAAACUUGCCCCGAGAUGAGUUCUCCCUGACUCCUUGAGAGUCCUGAAGGAACGUUGAAGACGACGACGUUGAUAGGCCGGGUGUGUAAGCGCAGCGAUGCGUUGAGCUAACCGGUACUAAUGAGCCGUGAGGCUUAACCUU